AUGGCUCAGGAUGAACGCUAGCGACAGGCUUAACACAUGCAAGUCGAGGGGCAGCAUAGAAGUAGCAAUACUUGGUGGCGACCGGCGCACGGGUGAGUAACGCGUAUGCAACCUACCUAUCAGAGGGGAAUAACCCGGCGAAAGUCGGACUAAUACCGCAUAAAACAGGGGCACCGCAUGGUGAUAUUUGUUAAAGAAAUUCGCUGAUAGAUGGGCAUGCGUUCCAUUAGGUAGUUGGUGAGGUAACGGCUCACCAAGCCGACGAUGGAUAGGGGAACUGAGAGGUUGGUCCCCCACACUGGUACUGAGACACGGACCAGACUCCUACGGGAGGCAGCAGUGAGGAAUAUUGGUCAAUGGGCGGGAGCCUGAACCAGCCAAGUCGCGUGAAGGAAGAAGGAUCUAUGGUUCGUAAACUUCUUUUGCAGGGGAAUAAAGUGCAGGACGUGUCCUGUUUUGUAUGUACCCUGAGAAUAAGGAUCGGCUAACUCCGUGCCAGCCGCCGC
rnacentral:rRNA from 1 species